rnacentral:rRNA from 1 species
GACGAACGCUGGCGGCGUGCUUAACACAUGCAAGUCGAACGGAAAGGCCCCUUUGGGGGUACUCGAGUGGCGAACGGGUGAGUAACACGUGAGUAACCUGCCCUUGACUUCGGGAUAACUUCAGGAAACUGGGGCUAAUACCGGAUAGGAAUCCUUGCUGCAUGGUGGGGGUUGGAAAGCUUCGGCGGUUUUGGAUGGACUCGCGGCUUAUCAGCUUGUUGGUGGGGUAGUGGCUUACCAAGGCUUUGACGGGUAGCCGGCCUGAGAGGGCGACCGGCCACAGUGGGACUGAGAGACGGCCCAGACGCCUACGGGAGGCAGCAGGGGGGAAGAUUGAACAAGGGGCGGAAGCCUGAUGCAGCAACGCCGCGGGCGGGAUGACGGCCUUCGGGUUGUAAACCGCUUUCAGCAGGGGCGAAGCUUGUGGUGACGGUACCUGCAGAAGAAGCACCGGCUAACUACGUG